AGUGAACGCUGGCGGUAGGCCUAACACAUGCAAGUCGAACGGCAGCACAGUAAGAGCUUGCUCUUACGGGUGGCGAGUGGCGGACGGGUGAGGAAUACAUCGGAAUCUACUUUUUCGUGGGGGAUAACGUAGGGAAACUUACGCUAAUACCGCAUACGACCUACGGGUGAAAGCAGGGGAUCUUCGGACCUUGCGCGAUUGAAUGAGCCGAUGUCGGAUUAGCUAGUUGGCGGGGUAAAGGCCCACCAAGGCGACGAUCCGUAGCUGGUCUGAGAGGAUGAUCAGCCACACUGGAACUGAGACACGGCCCAGACUCCUACGGGAGGCAGCAGUGGGGAAUAUUGGACAAUGGGCGCAAGCCUGAUCCAGCCAUACCGCGUAGGUGAAGAAGGACUUCGGGUUGUAAAGCCCUUUUGUUGGGAAAGAAAAGCAGCAGGUUAAUACCCCGCUGUUCUGACGGUACCCAAAGAAUAAGCACCGGCUAACUUCGUG
rnacentral:rRNA from 1 species